rnacentral:rRNA from 1 species
AUGAACGCUGGCGGCGUGCCUAAUCCAUGCAAGUCGAGCGAACAGACGAGGAGCUUGCUCCUCUGACGUUAGCGGCGGACGGGUGAGUAACACGUGGAUAACCUACCUAUAAGACUGGGAUAACUUCGGGAAACCGGAGCUAAUACCGGAUAAUAUAUUGAACCGCAUGGUUCAAUAGUGAAAGACGGUUUUGCUGUCACUUAUAGAUGGAUCCGCGCCGCAUUAGCUAGUUGGUAAGGUAACGGCUUACCAAGGCAACGAUGCGUAGCCGACCUGAGAGGGCGAUCGGCCACACUGGAACUGAGACACGGUCCAGACUCCUACGGGAGGCAGCAGUAGGGAAUCUUCCGCAAUGGGCGAAAGCCUGACGGAGCAACGCCGCGUGAGUGAUGAAGGUCUUCGGAUCGUAAAACUCUGUUAUUAGGGAAGAACAAAUGUGUAAGUAACUAUGCACGUCUUGACGGUACCUAAUCAGAAAGCCACGGCUAACUACGUG